GAUGAACGCUGGCGGCGUGCCUAAUACAUGCAAGUCGAACGCUGAAGGAGGAGCUUGCUCUUCUGGAUGAGUUGCGAACGGGUGAGUAACGCGUAGGUAACCUGCCUGGUAGCGGGGGAUAACUAUUGGAAACGAUAGCUAAUACCGCAUGACAACAGUUAUUGCAUGAUAACUGUUUAAAAGGGGCAACUGCUCCACUACCAGAUGGACCUGCGUUGUAUUAGCUAGUUGGUGAGGUAUCGGCUCACCAAGGCGACGAUACAUAGCCGACCGGUGAGGGGGGUCGGCCAGCCUGGGACGGUGACACGCCCCAUACGCCUACGGGUGGCAGCAGGAGUGAAUCUGCGGCAAUGGGCGGAAGUCUGACCGAGCUACGCCGCGUGAGGGAGGAAGGUUUUCGGGUCGUAAAGCUCUGUUGUAAGAGAAGAACGAGUGUGAGAGUGGAAAGUUCACACUGUGACGGUAACGUACCAAAAAGGGACGGCUAACUACGUG
rnacentral:rRNA from 1 species